AUAAACCUUCUGCAAUGGACCCAUUGAUGCCAUCGCUGUGUAUACACAAGUGUGCCACAGGAUAGGCAGCAGUGCAUUCUGAAGGCCUCAAAAGAGGUACGGGACCAGUCAAAACCACAUCAGCCCACUGAUGAGUGGACUGAGAUGUCUGUGAUGAAGCUAAAAGGAGAUGCCGCCUGGUCACCCAAAAUCCCUCAGAGGUGCAGUGGAUGGGUCAGCUAAUUCUGACUUUUGGCAAGUACCGAGGCAAAAGCUUCCAGUGGCUGGUGAAAAACGAUGUUGGCUACAUUAAAUAUAUCGUCGAUCGCCACGUUAAAGAGAAGCAGUGGCCAGAGAGAGGACCGAUAAAUGAUGAGUGGGUUAAGGAUUACCUCCAGUUCUUCUCGCAAGUCUCCUGCCACCUGGAGAUGUGUGUGGACAGAGCCAUUUAUGGACAGGGUGAAAUCUGCAGCAGAAAAGGCCAAAAGACCUGGAAAACAGAGCCGGCCAGCUUCUGCACACAAGUCCGUCAGAUGCACCACUCCAUCGUCAACGGCAAGAUCGCCGUCUGAACCACACAUCGAGGAAAAACAUGGAAAGAUGAAGGGGAGGAAGGUCCUGAAGGAUGACAGGAUGUGGUUUCAUCCUGUGGUUUCAGACAUACUGUCAGCAAAAAGUAAUCAUCUCCAGGACUUGAAGGCCAGACUUUUGACACUUUUGUAGACUUUCAAAGGGCUGUGGACAUUCUUUUGGGACCUCAUUUCCAGGUGUAAGCAAAGAAAAUUGGAGUGUUUUAUCGACUGCACUUGACAAUAAAUGCUUCUUUGUACUUGACAAUAAGUUAAAAAAAAAAAAAAAAAGGCUGUCAACAGGUCAUGGCCACAGCUUUUUCAUUUUUAUUUUGUAGCACUCAUUGGGAAAUUAAAUGUUCUUGCUCUUCAGUGUCACCUGGGUGGGGCCACCUCUCUUUAAUCACAGUCAGUGCUUUAUUCAUUUCCAAACAUAGGACGCCUCCAUUUCCAAGACACCUGGCUUGUCUUCUGGGCCACCACAAUGUAGGAACCUGCAAGGGACCAAUGACAGCAUCAUCACUAUUUUUCUUGCACGACAAAUGUUAUUCCUCAACUACAGGCCCGGGCAUGGUAUUCUUUACCAUCUUUUCAAUUUCUGACUGCACCUAAUGGCACAAAUAACAUCACUUGUGUGUUCAAAUACUACUACACCCACAGACAGUCAUCGCUUUGCCCUGCAUUCAUUUUUUCCAUCCAGCAGAUGGCUCAAUAGCUUGAUGGCUUACAUUUCAAUGAGAGAUUUUGACAGAUAUUUAUAACCAUUUGGGCAGUUUGGCACUUUAUGUUUGCAGUUCCCUGUCAAAAAACUUGACUUUGCCACAAUUUGUCUACACUUGUCUACACUUUGUUUUGCACGUCGUACGGGUCGAGGGCCCUUAGCGAAGCACCUGCCAGACGUGCAAAAACAUUCCUCAAUGUGGCCAUGUGAGACGUCCAGUCAUCAGUACACAAAAAUGUCAUCCAAAUAGGCUUUGCAGUGUGGAACAUCACCCAGGACCUUGUUCACGAGCCUCUGAAAGGUAGCAGGGGCGUUGCAGAGACCAGAAGGCAUAACAGUAUACUGAAGGGAGCUGUUUUGUGUCACAAAUGCCGAGAUCUCAGAUGCCAGAGGGUCAAUGGAACUUGCCAGUAGACUUUCAGUAAAUCCAGUUUGUUGACGUACCGAGCUGGACCAAUCUCAUCAAUGCAGUCAUCAAUAAGUGGCAAGGGAUGUGCAUCAGGGACUGUGACGGAGUUCACCUUUCGGAAGUCUGUGCAGAACCUUGGGCAGCUAUUCGACUUCUUAUCCAGCAAACAAGGUGAACUCCACGGACUGGAACUGGACACAGCGGACCCUUCUUCCUCAUGCACUCCCUCUUUAGAGGACUUACUCG
ensembl:lncRNA